rnacentral:rRNA from 1 species
UACGAAGGGGGGCGAGCGUUGUUCGGAAUUACUGGGCGUAAAGGGCGCGUAGGCGGCCUGAUAAGUCGGGGGGUGAAAAUCCUGAGGCUCAACCUCAGAACUGCCUUCGAUACUGGCGAUCUUGAGUCCGGAAGAAGGUUGGGUGGGAACAGCUAGUGUAGAGGUGAAAAUUCGUAGAUAUAGCUAGAAUCACCAGUGGC